rnacentral:rRNA from 1 species
AUCGGGGGUAACGACCUGGGAACAGAUGCUAAUACCGGGAUAACAACAGAUGAUGCCCUAUCAACUGUUUUAAAAAGAUGGGUUCUGCUAUCACUCUUGGGAUGGGACCCUGCGGUGCAUUAGCUAGUUGGUAGGGUAACGGCCUACCAAGGCGAUGAUGCAUAGCCGAGUUGAGAGACUGAUCGGCCACAUUGGGACUGAGACACGGCCCAAACUCCUACGGGAGGCAGCAGUAGGGAAUCUUCCACAAUGGACGCAAGUCUGAUGGAGCAACGCCGCGUGAGUGAAGAAGGGUUUCGGCUCGUAAAGCUCUGUUGUUGGUGAAGAAGGACAGGGGUAGUAACUAACCUUUGUUUGACGGUAAUCAAUUAGAAAGUCACGGCUAACUACGUGCCAGCAGCCGCGGUAAU